rnacentral:rRNA from 1 species
AACAGGAUUAGAUACCCUGGUAGUCCACGCCGUAAACGAUGUCGACUUGGAGGUUGUGCCCUUGAGGCGUGGCUUCCGGAGCUAACGCGUUAAGUCGACCGCCUGGGGAGUACGGCCGCAAGGUUAAAACUCAAAUGAAUUGACGGGGGCCCGCACAAGCGGUGGAGCAUGUGGUUUAAUUCGAUGCAACGCGAAGAACCUUACCUACUCUUGACAUCCAGAGAACUUAGCAGAGAUGCUUUGGUGCCUUCGGGAACUCUGAGACAGGUGCUGCAUGGCUGUCGUCAGCUCGUGUUGUGAAAUGUUGGGUUAAGUCCCGCAACGAGCGCAACCCUUAUCCUUUGUUGCCAGCGGUUCGGCCGGGAACUCAAAGGAGACUGCCAGUGAUAAACUGGAGGAAGGUGGGGAUGACGUCAAGUCAUCAUGGCCCUUACGAGUAGGGCUACACACGUGCUACAAUGGCACAUACAAAGAGAAGCGACCUCGCGAGAGCAAGCGGACCUCAUAAAGUAUGUCGUAGUCCGGAUUGGAGUCUGCAACUCGACUCCAUGAAGUCGGAAUCGCUAGUAAUCGUGGAUCAGAAUGCCACGGUGAAUACGUUCCCGGGCCUUGUACACACCGCCCGUCACACCAUGGGAGUGGGUUGCAAAAGAAGUAGGUAGCUUAACCUUCGGGAGGGCGCUUACCACUUUGUGAUUCAUGACUGGGGUGAAGUCGUAACAAGGUAACC